CUCCUUUGGUUUGUCAUUGCAUACCAGUGAGGUGCGAUUGGUGGGGGGAAAUGGCAGCAACCGCACUGGUCAGCCCUUUGGUUCAGCAUGCCAGUCCGGUGAGAAGCAGCCUCCACCGCGCUGGUCAUCCCCAAAUCAACUGGAGAUUGUUGGUCCGGUAAAAAUUUAGCAACUCCAGUUGCUUUUUCUUUUCCUCUUUUACCCAUAUUAUUUCUUUUGUUUCUUUUCCUCUUUUGUUUCUUCUGAUCUUUGGUUACCCUUCUUCUCCCCUUUCCCCUUCCCCUUCCCCUUCCCUUUCCCCUUCCCCUUGGUUUGCUCUGUAACCUCUGUUUGCUCGCUUACACAGUAAGUUUAUAGAUAGAUAUAUGAUUUUUUUUUGUU
rnacentral:lncRNA from 1 species